CACGGCCUUGCCAGAGGGAUCCAGCCUGAAUCUGACCAGCCUCUGGACCGUUGCUAAUAUACAGGAAAAAAGAAAUAAGUAACGAGAGAGGAGCUGGUUGAGCUGUACUAUAAAUACACCAUCAGCAGAAUCCAGGACUGUGGGAAACUCCACGGGUCCAACAGCCUGGGAUUUUCAUCAUGAAAUUGUGAGAAAGGCAGGGUGAGUGACCUUGAAGAUUAAGAGACCGAAAAGUACAAAAGGUUAAGAUUAUUUAAACCAAGUCCUGUAAUCAUUGUCUUCCCUGAAAAUUCUGCAUGGAAUUAAAACAGAAGUGACUUGUUAAUGAACUGGAUGCAGGCUGGACUCAAGGAACUUCGAUUUAUAUAAUAGGAUAAUACAGUGAGUCUACGUGGGCUGGAAGGCUGCUGUCGAUGACCGUAUCUCAGAAGGGCCCAAGAUGAUGGAUAACUAAGAAGUCCACA